UACGUAGGGGGCUAGCGUUGUCCGGAUUUAUUGGGCGUAAAGAGCGUGUAGGCGGCCAGGUAGGUCUGGUGUGAAAACUCGAGGCUUAACCUCGAGAUGUCAUCGGAAACCAUCUGGCUAGAGUCCGGAAGAGGAGAGUGGAAUUCCUGGUGUAGCGGUGAAAUGCGCAGAUAUCAGGAGGAACACCGGUGGUGUAGACGGCUUUCUGGACCGUAACUGACGCUGAGACACGAAAGCGUGGGUAGCAAACAGG
rnacentral:rRNA from 1 species